UUAUUAUCACCCUGUAAGUUUCACAUGUGGAUGGGGCAUAGCUUUCAUCAACUCAUUUCAGCAGCCUAAUAGUUCUGAUGGGCUCUACAUAGUUCUUGUUGAAGCAGAAGUUGCAGCUGAAAUCCAGAAAAUCAAGAUUCUUCUUCUGCAGAGACUGAUCCCCACCAUUGCCCUGCCCUGACCUCGAGGGAAGGAGGCUUGAGAAUGAGCUGUUUUUCCCAGCAAGCGUCCCAUUGUGGAAGGAGCGGUGACACACAUUGGUGGCUGAUGGUAUCACAGCUGACACACCCCCUCCCUUCUGCUGUGGAAAGAGAGCUAAUCUGUUCUGGGAUGACAAUGAAUCAGAGGAGAGAUUCUGAAAAGGACACCCGAGGAUCUCAGCUCCCUACAUGGCCCUUGCAAAGUCAGGAGGGGCCUCCUUUGCUGGAAAAUUACCUUGCUUGCCCUUUUGAGGGAACUGGGGCUGCCUAGAAACUGUACGGCCUAGUCAUUGCAAGGAAACAGGGUCAAAAGGGCAAAAUGGAUGGGAAACUGGGCACCCCAGAGAGCGUCCAUGGAGAAGCGCUGCUAGUGUUCCCCAGUGGGCAGCUAUAAUAAUAGAGGGAUAAAGCAUUUGUGCAUUAGCAGGAUAUUUUUUCAUAACAGAAGUUGCUUUCUUUCUUUUAUUUUAUUACUAUUUUUUGAGUCAUGGUCUUGCUCUGUUGACCAGGCUGGAGUACAAUGGCGUGAUCUUGGCUCACUGCAGCCUCAACCUCUCAGGCUGAAGCGAUCCUCCCACCUCAGCCUCCCAGGUAGCUGGGACUACAGGUUCAUGCCACCAUGCCCGGUGAAUUUUUGUAUUUUUUUGUAGAGGUGGGGUUUCACCAUGUCGCCUGGGCUGGUCUCAGACUUCUGGGCUCAAGCCAUCCUCCCUCCUCGGCCUCCCAAAGUGCUGGCACUAUGGGUAUGAGCCACAGUGUCCAGCCUUCCUUAUUUCAUAAGAAGAGUGUGUAUACAGGCAUGGCUGUUGAUUCACGUUGCCAUUGAAAGACAUCUACUGCUCUAGCCAGAGGAAUCCCUACUGACUCCAGGAGGUCCACAGUCAUCAUCCCUGUAGAAGGACAG
rnacentral:lncRNA from 10 species